GCCCCGGUAGUUCAACGGAUAGAACACUCCCGUCCUAAGGGAGAUAUGUAGGUUCAAUUCCUGCCUGGGGCACCA
rnacentral:tRNA from 4 species